GCCCCUGUGGCCCAAUGGUAGAGGCGGGCUCCCUAAAAGAGCUUCAUCGUGUCGGUUCGAGUCCGACCAGGGGUA
rnacentral:tRNA from 1 species